UUAGCUCAUAUUUGUAUGGAAUGGGAUCGUUUGCCUAUGUUUGCCGCUAGGGGCGCUGUUCCAACUGUAUACAAAAUUGGGUUA
rfam:Bombyx mori DNA, contig: Bm_scaf8_contig6766, strain: p50T/Dazao, build 2, whole genome shotgun sequence.